rnacentral:rRNA from 1 species
GAUGAACGCUGGCGGCGUGCCUAAUACAUGCAAGUCGAGCGAACAGACGAGGAGCUUGCUCCUCUGACGUUAGCGGCGGACGGGUGAGUAACACGUGGAUAACCUACCUAUAAGACUGGGAUAACUUCGGGAAACCGGAGCUAAUACCGGAUAAUAUAUUGAACCGCAUGGUUCAAUAGUGAAAGACGGUUUUGCUGUCACUUAUAGAUGGAUCCGCGCCGCAUUAGCUAGUUGGUAAGGUAACGGCUUACCAAGGCAACGAUGCGUAGCCGACCUGAGAGGGUGAUCGGCCACACUGGAACUGAGACACGGUCCAGACUCCUACGGGAGGCAGCAGUAGGGAAUCUUCCGCAAUGGGCGAAAGCCUGACGGAGCAACGCCGCGUGAGUGAUGAAGGUCUGCGGAUCGUAAAACUCUGUUAUUAGGGAAGAACAAAUGUGUAAGUAACUAUGCACGUCUUGACGGUACCUAAGCAGAAAGCCACGGCUAACUACGU